rnacentral:rRNA from 1 species
UGCUCUCGGGUGACGAGCGGCGGACGGGUGAGUAAUGUCUGGGAAACUGCCUGAUGGAGGGGGAUAACUACUGGAAACGGUAGCUAAUACCGCAUAACGUCGCAAGACCAAAGUGGGGGACCUUCGGGCCUCAUGCCAUCAGAUUGCCCAGAUGGGAUUGCUAGUAGGUGGGGUAAUGGCUCACCUAGGCGACGAUCCCUAGCUGUGAGAGGAUGACCAGCCACACUGGAACUGAGACACGGUCCAGACUCCUACGGGAGGCAGCAGUGGGGAAUAUUGCACAAUGGGCGCAAGCCUGAUGCAGCCAUGCCGCGUGUAGAAGGCCUUCGGGUUGUAAAGUACUUUCAGCGAGGAGGAAGGCGUUAAGGUAAUAACCUUGGCGAUUCGUUACUCGCAGAAGAAGCACCGGCUAACUCCGUGCCAGCAGCCGCGGUAAUACGGAGGGUGCAGCGUUAAUCGGAAUUACUGGGCGUAAAGCGCACGCAGGCGGUCUGUCAAGUCGGAUGUGAAAUCCCCGGGCUCAACCUGGGAACUGCAUUCGAAACUGGCAGGCUAGAGUCUUGUAGAGGGGGGUAGAAUUCCAGGUGUAGCGGUGAAAUGCGUAGAGAUCUGGAGGAACCGGUGGCGAAGGCGGCCCCCUGGACAAAGACUGACGCUCAGUGCGAAAGCGUGGGGAGCAAACAGGAUUAGAUACCCUGGUAGUCCACGCCGUAAACGAUUCGACUUGGAGUUGUGCCCUUGAGCGUGGCUUCCAGCUAACGCGUUAAGUCGACCGCCUGGGGAGUACGGCCGCAAGGUUAAAACUCAAUUUGACGGGGCCCGCACAAGCGUGAGCAUGUGUUUAUCGAUGCAACGCGAGACUACUACUCUGACAUCAGAGACUAGCAGAGAUGCUUGUGCUCAGGACUCUGAACAGUGCUGCAUGCUGUCGUCCUCUGUGUGAAAUGUAGUAGUUCCGCACGAGGCAACCUAU